rnacentral:lncRNA from 1 species
ACAUUUACAAGAUAAAUUACCAUCUAGUUUGUCUUCUUUUGUAUUUUAUUUGCCCUCAACAGGCAUGUUUGGUGUUGAAGCACACUAGCAAUGUUCUGAAAUCACUUCUGGAUGAGAGGCAGAACAGAAAUCAAGUUUUAAAAUUCCAGAUUGCUUCGCUGGAGACCAGAGCGGUUUUACGGGUGCAGUCGGUCAGUGUCCGUCACCCUGGCGAUAGUCUGGACACCGGCUCUAGGAAGACCUUAAUGGAGAGCUGUGACAUUCUGCAGCAAAGCAGCAAUGAGUUCCUCACCCUUGGACACAGAGAGGAGGAGGCAGAAGCUGCUCUUCAGCAUGCAGACAUUCUGAGAAUCGUUGCGAAACGCACCGAAGACCCGGAGCUACGACGGCGCCACUCGCUGGACGCGUACCUCUCGAUGCACAAGGCCGUGUCUGUGCAGGAGGAGGUGUCCCUCUACGCUCAGAGUCUGCCUCCCCUUCAGGAGGUACAUUUUAUUCUCGCAGUUUUUAUUCUGCUUUUAAAACCGUUCUCGAUGGGUUUGCUCUUAAUAAAAACAAAAAUCUCGCGUUUUCAAGUUGCCGUUUGAGAUUUUGUUGAUGCCGCUCACUUUUAUACCUGC